UACGUAGGAUCCAAGCGUUAUCCGGAGUGACUGGGCGUAAAGAGUUGCGUAGGCGGCUUUGUAAGCGAGUAGUGAAAUCAUGUGGCUCAACCAUCAUGGCUAUUACUCGAACUGCAGAGCUCGAGAAUGGUAGAGGUAGCUGGAAUUUCUAGUGUAGGAGUGAAAUCCGUAGAUAUUAGAAGGAACACCAAUGGCGUAGGCAGGCUACUGGACCAUUUCUGACGCUAAGGCACGAAAGCGUGGGGAGCGAACCGG
rnacentral:rRNA from 1 species